GACGAACGCUGGCGGCGUGCUUAACACAUGCAAGUCGAACGGAAACGCCCUGCUUUUGUGGGGUGCUCGAGUGGCGAACGGGUGAGUAACACGUGAGUAACCUGCCCUUGACUUUGGGAUAACUUCAGGAAACUGGGGCUAAUACCGGAUAGGAGCUCCUGCUGCAUGGUGGGGGUUGGAAAGUUUCGGCGGUUGGGGAUGGACUCGCGGCUUAUCAGCUUGUUGGUGGGGUAGUGGCUUACCAAGGCUUUGACGGGUAGCCGGCCUGAGAGGGUGACCGGCCACAUUGGGACUGAGAGACGGCCCAGACUCCUACGGGAGGCAGCAGUGGGGAAUAUUGCACAAUGGGGGGGAGCCUGAUGCAGCAACGCCGGGUGCGGGAUGACGGCCUUCGGGGGGUAAACCGCUUUCGCCUGUGACGAAGCGUGAGUGACGGUAAUGGGUAAAGAAGCACCGGCUAACUACGUG
rnacentral:rRNA from 1 species